rnacentral:rRNA from 1 species
UUUAAAAUGUAAAUUUUUAUUCUAAAUUAUUAGUAGUUAUGUUCUUUAAAAUUAAAAAAUUUGGCGGUAUUUUAGUCUAUUCAGAGGAAUCUGUUCUAUAAUUGAUACUCCACGAUUAUUAAUACUUAAGUUAUUAGUUUAUAUAUCAUCGUUAAAAAUAUUUUUAUAGAAAUAAAAUAUUUAAAAUUUUUUAUUAAAAAAUUAAUCAGAUCAAGAUGUAGCUUAUACUUAAGAAGAAAUGGAUUACAAUAAUUUUAAAUUUGGAUAUAUUAUUUAAAAUAAUAUUGAAAUUGGAUUUGAUAGUAAUUUUUUUAUAAUAAAAAAAUGAUUUUAGCUCUAAAAUAUGU